UUUUUUUUUUGGUAUUUGGUCCCUUCCCUCCAUUUGCUUGACGAGGCAACAAAAACUUCAAAUAAAUCUUUUAAAUUUACAUCAAUUGGAUUUGGAUCUCUCUUUAAGGUAUGAUUUAUUUACUGAUGUUUUUUUUAUUAUAUAGAUGUUUGAAGACAAUUCGAGGUGAUGCAAAAUUAUAUGCUUCUUUAAUUUUAAGGUUAGGUUUAAGGAUAGAGAGACUCAGAGACCUGCAAAGGUCACAAUGCCAUGUGCCAUUUCAUCUGUUCAAUUCAAAUAAACAAACAACUGAUCAUUUUUAUGCUUUCUUUUUUAGGGAAGACUAUGUCCUUAUUACAUGAAUAGUUGACUUUUUGGUUUUCCCUCAAGUACUUGAAGACAUACAAUUCUUAGCUAAACCAUGAAAUGCAGUAUGAAACAAAACACAUCCCAAGAUUGUCCCAACUCCCAAGUCAAACCCAUUCAUAAGUUAAGAACUGAAAUCGCUGCCAAAGGUAGCAUUUGAGGAGUUCCAACCGAUGGACCGAUUUAACAAGUAUGGUUAGUUGCUCAACCUAUUGUGUUAUUUUCUAGAAAGUGUAAAAAACUAUCAUUUCUGUUU